rnacentral:lncRNA from 1 species
CGAGGGCUGGGUGGGAGUGGCUGGCUGGACGCAGCUGGACUCUGCUCCCAGAAUGGACUGACUUCAGCUUCAGGGAUGACACAGAGACUCUGGGACGCUUCUUAGGAAGGACACAAGGAGGGAUUUUCAGAGGCUUUGGAGUACAGUGUGUGUUUGCUUCUCAACUUUGCCCCCACUUGGGCUGUCUGCUUUAGAGUGGGGACAGUGAACUAGGCAUGGUGGCUCACACAUGCAAUCCCAGCACUUUGGAAGGUCAAAGCAGAAGGAUCACUUGAGCCCAGGAGCUUGACACCAGCCUGGGCCACAUAGUAAGACCCCGUCUGUACUAAAAAUAAACAUUUUAAAAAUUA